UACGGAGGAUGCGAGCGUUAUCCGGAUUUAUUGGGUUUAAAGGGUGCGUAGGCGGAUUUUUAAGUCAGCGGUAAAAUGUCCGGGCUCAACCCGGGCCGGCCGUUGAAACUGGGGAUCUUGAGUGGCGAGAAGUAUGCGGAAUGCGUGGUGUAGCGGUGAAAUGCAUAGAUAUCACGCAGAACUCCGAUUGCGAAGGCAGCAUACCGGCGCCCGACUGACGCUGAGGCACGAAAGCGUGGGGAUCGAACAGG
rnacentral:rRNA from 1 species